rnacentral:rRNA from 1 species
AACCAACAGGGAUUGCCCCAGUAACGGCGAGUGAAGCGGCAAUAGCUCAAAUUUGAAAUCUGGCUCCUUUGGGGCCCGAGUUGUAAUUUGGAGAGGGUGCUUUGGUGUUGGCAGCAGCCUAAGUUCCUUGGAACAGGUCAUCAUAGAGGGUGAGAAUCCCGUAUGUGGCUGAUUGUCUUCACCGUGUAAAGCCCCUUCGACGAGUCGAGUUGUUUGGGAAUGCAGCUCUAAAUGGGAGGUAAAUUUCUUCUAAAGCUAAAUACUGGCCAGAGACCGAUAGCGCACAAGUAGAGUGAUCGAAAGAUGAAAAGCACUUUGGAAAGAGAGUCAAAAAGCACGUGAAAUUGUUGAAAGGGAAGCGCUUGCAGCCAGACGUGCCUGUAGUUGCUCAUCUGGGGAUUUCCCCAGUGCACUCUUCUAUGGGCAGGCCAGCAUCAGUCCGGGCGGUUGGAGAAAGGCCUGUGUCACGUAGCUGCUUUCGGGCAGUGUUAUAGGGCAGGUGGAAUACGACCAGCCUGGACUGAGGUCCGCGCAUCUGCUAGGAUGCUGGCGUAAUGGCUGUAAGCGGCCCGUCUUGAAACACGGACCAAGGAGUCUAACAUCUAUGCGAGUGUUUGGGUGUCAAGCCCGAGCGCGCAAUGAAAGUGAAUGGAGGUGGGAACCCUUGGGUGCACCAUCGACCGAUCCUGAUGUCUUCGGAUGGAUUUGAGUAAGAGCAUAGCUGUUGGGACCCGAAAGAUGGUGAACUAUGCCUGAAUAGGGUGAAGCCAGAGGAAACUCUGGUGGAGGCUCGCAGCGGUUCUGACGUGCAAAUCGAUCGUCAAAUUUGGGCAUAGGGGCGAAAGACUAAUCGAACU